ACAGCCACACUUCUGUCGACCAUGUCGACGGAUGUUUAUGUUUCCAUUGAUCAGCCGUUGAUAAGCUACGAGUAAUAAAGGGGAAAAGAUGGACAUUAAAGUGUGUGAUCUAUGUGGAUGUUACUGAAGAAGCUCAAAACGAACUCUUGUUCCGACAUGGCACCACAUUGCUUUUACCUGUUGAUUCUUGUGGGUCAACUCUUGAGAUUAACCUGUCACCUCUAUCCACAUGCAUAUUCCUUGUGUUCUACAGACUUUUUACCGGUAAUUCAAAUUAAAUCGGAUAAUGCAUGAACAAUAAUGGAACUUUAUGAAAGCAUCAUCCCAUGUUGUGGUUUGUGUUUGAUAAGAAAUUAUGAAAAACAAAAUUAAGGCUAUUUAAAGAAAUUCAUAAUUGUUGUGAAAAUUUGUUUUUCAAUAAAAGUAUGCAAUUA